rnacentral:rRNA from 1 species
UACAGAGGGUGCAAGCGUUAAUCGGAAUUACUGGGCGUAAAGCGUGCGUAGACGGUUGCGUAAGUCAGAUGUGAAAGCCCCGGGCUCAACCUGGGAAUUGCAUUUGAGACUGCGUAGCUAGGGUGCGGAAGAGGGAAGCGGAAUCUCCGGUGUAGCGGUGAAAUGCGUAGAUAUCGGAAGGAACACCAGUGGCGAAAGCGGCUUCCUGGUCCAGCACCGACGUUCAGGCACGAAAGCGUGGGGAGCAAACAGG